AGUGCUACUUUCCUAACUUAAAAGCAAAACCUGUUCCUUUGCUGCACAUCGUGCGAGUCUGCAGACACAGUGCAGGAAGAUGGGCAGAGGCCAGGAGCGCUUUCAUCUUAAUGGGGCUCUGCGUGUGUGUGAACAUCCCGGGGGGAGCCCUCUCAGGGAAGAGCUUCAGAGCCCGAGGCAGUGUGCAGUGCCGAUAAGGAGAUGAAACAAUAGCUGCGACACCGAGAGCCUUCACACAAUUACUUGGGCCACUGUGAGACCUCUAAAACACAGCAUUGGAGCCCAAUGUGAAGAUUUAGCAAUGCACAAGCUGUGCCCUGGCAGAGAUGGGAAACCUGAGAUGUCCUUGCUUGAGAUCCAGAAGUGGAGCCAAGGAACUGUUCCCAAACUUCUAUUAUUGCUGCCUCAUUUCCUCAUUAAUGCCACAGAGAUUGAUGUGAAGGGACUUCCACGGUGCUAAUGGAAUCACCCACCCAAAUCUCCCCUGUGCCAAUGGCAGGGAACGCUCCAGUUCUCUGCCCUUACGUUAGUGCUGGAGAAAUGCACCACAACUCUAAGCAAGUGAUGGGAUGAUCCUUGGUGAACAGAAGAUGAAGCAAUGGCUGAAGGUCUUUGGGGGAAGAUGUGGAUGUUGGCAUCUCUUUGGUGGAGAGUUUGCACUGAUCACAGAUGGAGAGAGCAAGACACUGGAGCAGGUAUGGGACUAGAGAUCAAGGCUUUCAUCUGUAAUGCUUUGGUCUCUGACACCCCACAGAGAUCCCUGGUGGCCAAUGACUGCCUCUUCCAAAGAGGAAUAUGUCCUGGUAGCAAGACCUCCGGUUUGUGGUAAAAAUAACUAUUGCUUACUUCACAGGCCCACAGAAAAGCACCUGCCUGGACUGCAGGAGACCAGCAAAUCACAGGCAUGAAACAGACAUGUCAGCUUCUGUGCAGAACACUUAUCGGUGAAUUUAGGCUGCCCCUUCUUCACAUCUCCAUGGAAAACCUUGGGAUUAUCUUGACUUUUAUCCACACAGGGAAGGUGAAAUGGUCUAAAUGUUAAUGAUUCAUGGGAUGCAGGCUGCCUCUCAGUUUCAAUAAAUGCAUUAGCCUCUUUGUGAAGAGCUGUUUUGAAUUCAUAGAACGUUUUUAAAGUUUCUUUCAAAGACUGUGUUUUUCCUUUCCUCUCAUGUAUCUCAGAAGAAACCAGCCUGCCAAACUGGGUCCAGGCAGCUCUUCUGAGAUAGAGACAUCCAUCUCUGUGUACGGUCUGUACUUGUGAAGCAGAGCACAAAGCCCUUUUCCCCAUUUAAUCCAUAUUAAUUAUCUCUCUUGCAGCUCCUCUAUAGUUUCCACUCGAUCCAGGCACCAAAACGUGUGCGGCUGCAUCUUGAACAAACCAGGGCCUUUCACUGCACACCUGGCAAGUGAACACUCCAAAAAUACAGUAAAUAAAAAGGUUUAGUGCUGAAGGAUUGAAGCUCUCUCCACGCUUGAAAACCGAAUGCCGUGGGACUGGGGACUAAGGCAGAUAUUUUUAGUGCCAUCAAUAUCUCCUGGAGUUGAUAUCUCCCAAGACAGAUGGUUGUUUCCCACAGAACGUUGUCAAAUGUUUGCUCAGCCAAGAUCAAUUUUGUUCCAAGUCCUUUCCCACCUUCUGGUGAAAGAUAUUUCACUUGCCAGACAAAAAAUUAAAGAAACAGCAUGAAACCGUGUCACUCCAGAGGGUUCUCGUUCCUAUAGCUCUCCUCUGUCCUUCAGCCAUGCGACUGACAUCUCUUUCAGGGCCCAUGGAACAAUAAUAGAUGCACUCAGGGCGGAAGCACGAUGCCAAACACCAAAGGCUCAGGUCUCAUGUCAGAGGCUGAUUUCCUCCGAGACCUACAAGUCACUUUUCAGCCUGUCAAAGGCCCUUGCUGCCACACUUGGCUGAGAUCUCCUAAACCCAAGGGAAACCUGAGCACCUUGAACUGAUCUCUUAACAAGGUGCAAGUUGGAAGGAGGAACAGAAGUGGUGGUGAGGAGGAGGCAGAGAGGCUGAGCUGUGCCCUGCAUGGAACACAUGGAAGGCAUUUCCAGUGAUGCCCUAUUUGUAACAAACUACACCUAAGAAAAAUAAAUGUCCCAUUUCUUUCCCU